UAAAAUGUCGGUCUGCUCCCUACAUAGGGCACUAUGUAGUGUGUAAUGCUAUGUAGUAUGUAUGACGUCACCGCUUUCAGCACACUAUGUAGUGCACACGGUGCUAAUAUUGUGGUUUGAGAUACGGCCGUUAAUUGGUGAGCCAAUUUAAACCAGGUGUGAGUCAUGGCGCAGCAGGACGAGGACAGCGUCCACACUAAACGCAGUAAGACCCUGAUUGUGAGACACCUCCCUGCAGACCUGAGCCGUGAGGAGAAGGAGGACCUGCUGGUGUAUUUCGGCGCCUUGUCUGUGCGCGUUCUCUCUGAUAAAGGCCCUUUAAAACACACCGCUUUUGCCACUUUCUCUAGUGAGACAUCAGCGUCGAAGGCUCUGAGGAGACUCCAUCAGUUGAGGAUUCUGGGCCACACGCUGGUCGUGGAGUUUUCCAAGGAUCAAGAUAACACGGUCGUGCUGAAGAGUCCGAAGAUCACCGACAGGUUUGCUGAUGAUCCAAAUGAAAAGGAGAAGAAGGAGAAUCAGCAGCCGAACCUCCCUCUCAUCGAAACCGGCAUCGCUCCCUCUCACGGGUUAAAUUUCCAACCAAAUCCGACACUGAAAUAUUUAUACCCUCUCCCAUCGAGUGCCAUCCUGACAAACAUCACACACACACUCCUGAGCGUGCCCAAGUUCUACGUUCAGGUUCUUCACCUGAUGAAUAAGAUGAACCUGCCGUGUCCGUUCGGACACGUAACCACCGCUCCCCCUGCGUACACAAUGGCUCACGACUGGUUGCCCCACAUGGUCCCGCCUCCCCCUGUGUUUCCCCCGGAGAACCCCCCACUGCCGGAGGGCACCAGCGAUGAAGAGCAGGAGUCUGAGUACGAGAGCGGAGAUGAUGAUGAAGAUAAAGAGAGGAUGAUCAGAAUGAUGGGGCUCGUUAACCAGCCAUGCAAACGACCUCUGAGAACAAAGAUGGCUGCCACGAGGAAGAAACCCAAACUUAAGGACCUGUUGUUUACCCCAAAACCUGAAUCGCACAGCGCUCCAGGUCCCACUCUGAGGCCCUCCGACGUGUUCGAGCAGCCGCUCCAGCUCGGACCCAAGAAGAUCGAGUUCCACAUCCCGGCCGAGACGAGGGCACAGGAGGAGGAGGGGGAGGAGGAUGAGGAUGAGGAGGAGACUCAGGAGGAAGCAGCAGACUUGGUGGAGCAGGAAGCAGCAGGGUCAGGAUUUGGGAAGCUGUAUCCCAGUAUACAGAGCUGCAGAGAGGAGGAGAGUGGAGAGAAAGAGGAUGAAAUCCCCUCAGAGUUCAUCACCAGGAGAGAGCUAGAGAAAGGCAGACUCUCCAGAGAUGAGAUGAAGAGGAUGUCCGUGUUUAAGAACUAUGAACCAGGAGAACCGACGUGUAGGCUUUAUGUGAAGAACAUCGCCAAACAAGUGGAAGAAAAAGAGCUGAAAUAUAUCUACAGCAGGUACAUCGACACAUCAUCAGAGGAUGAGAGAAACAGGUUUGAUAUCGUUUUAAUGAAGGAGGGAAGAAUGAAAGGUCAAGCCUUCAUUGGGCUUCCCAGUGAGAAAAGUGCAGAGAAGGCCUUGAGGGACACGAACGGAUAUGUCCUACACGACAAGCCCCUAGUGGUUUUCACAAGCUCUGUGUUUUAGACUUAACUCAAAACUCUCCAGCAAUUCGCUCGAUCGGCGAAACCUAGACAGGACGCGACGGAUUCCAAGACUGGAACCAAAAAACACUGAGAGGGGAUGUUGAAGUGACGUCAGUCUCGACUCCGCAGCAGUGUGUAUCCUUAACCCUGCAUAUCCUUUCAGACCGAUUCUACACUUUAUCAUUACGUCAUAAAAUCAUUUAGCCAUGGUUGUUUAUGUACCUUGUUGUUUUUAGCUCCUCGUUCUCUCACUUGUAAUUUCAGCUCCCAGGUGAAGAAGCUCCUCCUCAGUAUCUUCAUGAGAAGUUCCUCGGUUCCUCCCUUUCUCUCAGUCCAAGCUGCACUCAUUAUUACCGUGUCUUUAAUGUAACGUGAUGAAAUAAAGUAUUUCACAUCA